CCUCUUUAUUGGACAGAAUGAUUCAAGUUACAGAUAAAAGAUAACUGAACACCUCGCGAAACUAUCUAACCAGGUGAGCCAAACAGUUAGUGGAAGUGUUUCUAUGAAAACAGAUCGUGAAACUAAUCAGCUAUCAAUGAACCCACCUUCGUUAACAGAGGCACUUUGAACCACCAAACGGCAAUCGAUAAACCAGUGACAGCAGCAAAGUUAACCGCCGGAAAGCAGAAAAAUGAAAACGUUUUACAACACUCUUUGGAGGAUGGUGUUACACGCAUGAUGAUAAAUGAGGCUCAAAAUACCUAGGAAUAAAUCGAGCUCUGCUAUGGAACGCAAAGAUAAGAUGCCGUAUGCCUAUAUAUGAAUGGGUUACAUAUAUGUUUGAAUGGUAAAAACGAUGUCGAACAACGUGCGUUUGUUCAGUUGGGCGAUGUGGACUUCAACUGGAGCGCACUGAAUGAUUAAUUUAGAAAUCUUAAUGACGAAAGUUUAGCAUCAAACAAAAUUCUUGAUUGAAGAUGAUAAAGAUGAAGAUGAACCAAAUUCGAUAAAGUUUAAGUAUACUCCUAAUACUUAUACUUUAGACGUUGCAACAGAACAAAAUUAGCUUUGCGAAAUACUGCCAUUCCGA